GACGAACGCUGGCGGCGUGCUUAACACAUGCAAGUCGAACGGUGAAGCCCUUCGGGGUGGAUCAGUGGCGAACGGGUGAGUAACACGUGAGCAACCUGCCCCUGGCUCUGGGACAACCACUGGAAACGGUGGCUAAUACCGGAUACGACCCGCCUCGGCAUCGAGUGUGGAUGGAAAGUUUUUCGGCUGGGGAUGGGCUCGCGGCCUAUCAGCUUGUUGGUGGGGUGAUGGCUCACCAAGGCGACGACGGGUAGCCGGCCUGAGAGGGCGACCGGCCACAGUGGGACUGAGAGACGGCCAAGACUCCUACGGGAGGCAGCAGUGGGGAAUAUUGCACAGUGGGCGAAAGCCGGAUGCAGCAACGCCGGGUGCGGGAUGACGGCCUUCGGGUUGUAAACAUCUUUCGCCUGCGAAGAAGCGGGAGUGACGGUAAUGGAUAAAGAAGCACCGGCUAACUACGUG
rnacentral:rRNA from 1 species